AGAACUCCAGGCGUUAACCUGUAGAGUUGAGAUGGAAACAGCCGGAAAGGUAAUUUUACGCCCUUAA
rnacentral:rRNA from 3 species